UACGUAGGGUCCGAGCGUUGUCCGGAUUUAUUGGGCGUAAAGAGCGCGUAGGCGGUCCGGUAAGUCGGUUGUGAAAACUGGGGGCUCAACCCUCAGAGGCCGACCGAUACUGCCGGGCUAGAGUCCGGAAGAGGCGAGUGGAAUUCCUGGUGUAGCGGUGAAAUGCGCAGAUAUCAGGAGGAACACCAAUGGCGAAGGCAGCUCGCUGGGACGGUACUGACGCUGAGGCGCGAAAGCGUGGGGAGCAAACAGG
rnacentral:rRNA from 1 species